ensembl:lncRNA
CUUGCCCAGUAACUCUGAUUGACUUCUCUUCAGCAAAGUCAAAAAACGAAAGCUUGAGUGUUCCAUUGAUGGCUGCACAAGUACACAAAAGUUAUGGAUGCAAACAUGAAGCACAAGCCAGAGGAGCAUAUGAGAAGCUUAUGAGCCAGGAGCAUGCAGGCUUCUCAUGUAUGGACAGCGGUCUCUGGCUGAACCCCAAGUGGCCAUACAUGGGGUCCUCCCUGAUGGGAUAGUCACUUGUGACUGUCAUGGAACUGGCAUCUGCGAGAUUAAGUGCCCACACUCUCAGAAAGAUGCGGUCAACCUGCGCAUGCGUGCUGGGGAGAAGGGCUUCUGCCUCAUCAGUGACGGGGAUAAUGUCACACUGGACCCAACUCAUGACUACUAUUACCAAAUUCAGGCACAGCUUCACAUUGCAAAUGCAGAGUACUGUGACUUUGUUGUGUGGAACCGCAAUGACAUAUUUGUUGAAAGGAUUUUGCCUGACCUUGAGUUUUGGGAUGAUGCGAUUCCUAAAGUUGAGUGUUUUUUUAGAAACAGUAUACUCCCAGAAAUACUGGGACAGCAAGUUACAAACAUACAUGUGUAAUGUGAUAAAAGGACGACAACAUAAUGACAUUUUGAAUAUUGUUAUGACCUGAUGGUAGUCAUUAUGAGUUCUGGCUAUUGUAUUUGCUCUGACGUAGCAUUAGAGCACAAAUUGUCAUUUAAUUUUAUUGUACAUUUAAUUGUGUCAUUUAAGUGUUGUGUAACACUACACAAUGAUUAAAUGCUAUUGAGGCAGCAUAAUAAUACAUUGGUGGUUUAUUUACAAGAUUAGACUUUUAAACAAAUAAACAAAAUAGAUUGCAAUCCAUCUCACAGUAUAAUACUGUACAAACUGCCAGCACAAUAUGACAGUUGGAGAAAAAUAUUUCAUUUGAAAACAUUUACAGACUAAUCAGGAGUCAGGACUUAGGUACUACUAUUACUCUACCCUGUUCUACUUAUCACCAGAGCCAAGCAGCAGAUACUGGACACUACUCUUCCUCUCCACCCCCUUCUGUGAGCCGUGACAGUGACAAGACAUUUAAUUUUUUUAACUGAUUGAUUACCACCCACCC